rnacentral:tRNA from 1 species
UUUAAAAUAGUAUAUUGAAAGUACAGUUACCUUCCAAGUAAAGAGACCAAACAAGGUUUUGAAGUA